GAUUAACGUGAAGAACCUUACCUGGGCUCGAAAUGUAGUCGACCGUCUCAGAGAUGAGGCUUUCCCGCAAGGGACGGCUGCAUAGGUGCUGCAUGGCUGUCGUCAGCUCGUGUCGUGAGAUGUUGGGUUAAGUCCCGCAACGAGCGCAACCCUCACCGUUAGUUGCUCGUCCCGAGCAAUCGGGAAAGCACCCUAACGGAACUGCCUCAGAUAAUGGGGAGGAAGGUGGGGAUGACGUCAAGUCCUCAUGGCCUUUAUGUCCAGGGCUACACACGUGCUACAAUGGCCGGUACAAAGCGUCGCAAACCCGUGAGGGGGAGCCAAUCGCAAAAAGCCGGUCCCAGUUCGGAUUGUAGGCUGCAACUCGACUUCAUGAAGCUGGAAUCGCUAGUAAUCGCGGAUCAGAACGCCGCGGUGAAUACGUUCCCGGGCCUGUACACACCGAAUC
rnacentral:rRNA from 1 species